rnacentral:lncRNA from 1 species
GAUAAAUUGUCUUAAUGGCUGCCGAAUUUAUUAUAUCUCCAGCUGAUUAAUUAGUUGCAUUUAAUUGGUGCAGGUACCAUGUGUGGACAACAAAUUAAAUGGGCACCAUGCGUGGACAGCAAAUUAAAAGCUGGAACCAGCUUAGUGCAAGGACGCCAUUAAUGAUGAUGGCUGCUGAAGGUGCAUGGAAUUACCGAAUUUUAAUGCAAGCAUCUAGAAGAAAGCAUGCAUUCAGCCAUGCAUGUAUUUUGGAGGUGACCAUUCGGCAAGGGGGCUGCACUUGCUGAUUAUUUUUCAAUUAAACAGCCAAUAAAUUCUAAAUGUCCAUUCAGCUAUGGCUGUUCACACACCAAGUCUUUUCAUUGCUAAUUAUUCACAUAUAAGACUACUCCAAUACCCCAGUAAGAUGUGCAUGCAUUCGGCAGCAUCAAGAAGUUUUAAUUGCCAGCUUUUAUUUCCUUAGCUAAAUACUCCAGCUCAGGAAAUUAAGUCCUCACUAAAGGAUUUUUCAUGGAC